UGUGUGAAGACUACGGAUUGU
rnacentral:siRNA from 1 species